rnacentral:rRNA from 1 species
UACGUAUGGGGCGAGCGUUAUCCGGAUUCAUUGGGCGUAAAGCGCGCGUAGGCGGGCCGUCAAGCGGGGUGUCAAAUCCGGGGGCUCAACCCGCGGCACCACCCCGAACUGGCGGCCUUGAGUGUGGUAGGGGAGCGUGGAAUUCCCAGUGUAGCGGUGGAAUGCGCAGAUAUUGGGAGGAACACCGGUGGCGAAGGCGGCGCUCUGGGCCACCACUGACGCUGAGGCGCGAGAGCUGGGGGAGCGAACA